AUGGCUGCCGCCCUCGCCGGACCUGUGUAUCUGGCCAUCGCCAACUCGGCGCCGGCGGGCGAAUGCGCAGCGAGCAGCUCCCCAGCAGGCUGGGCGGGCGGCCAGCGUGGCUGGGCGUGGCUGGGCGCGGCCGGGCUGCCGGGGCUCCCGCCCCUGGCCUGAGAGCUGUGCGACCGUCGCUCUUCUUCCGGCGGCAGGUGUAUGCGUCGCUGCCCGGCCGCGCAGACGCCUUCCACCGCGGCAUCUUCCUCUUCUGCUGCCACGAGCCGCCGUGCUGUGCCGCCCUGCGAGUUUCUAGGAAUCAGCUACCCAGGAAAAAUGAUUUUUACUCAUAUGAGCCACCUUCUGAGACUCCUUCCCCAGAAACAGGAGAAUCGGUGUAUCUCCAACUUAAGUCUGGUGCUCAUCUCUGCAGGGUUUGUGGCUGUUUAGGCCCCAAAACUUGCUCCAGAUGCCACAAAGCGUAUUACUGCAGCAAGGAGCAUCAGACCCUAGACUGGAGAUUGGGACAUAAGCAGGCUUGUGCACAACCAGAUCAUUUGGACCUUACAACUCCAGACCACAGCUUCCUUUUUCCAGAAUUUGAAAUUGUAAUAGGAACAGAAGACGAGAUUAUGCCUGAGGUUGCGGAAAAGGAAGAUUAUUCAGAUAUUAUAGGGAGCAUGGUUAAGCAGUUUCAGGACUUCAUUCAUUAAGUGGUUAAACUUAAUGCUUGGAAGAAAGGUCUCAAAUGUGUCUAGAAGAGAGGUACUGAGAGGAAGACUCACUUUGGAGGCUGGGGCCUACAAUUUUCAGGGAUUGCCUCCGGUGAAAAUAUACUUCCUGGACUUUGUUUCCUGACAUAUAUCAGGUGUGUUCUGCUCCCUAUAAAGACAAGGGGAGGCGGGUAUCCAGAUGGUCCCACGAGUAGGGCUACACAAGAUGCUGGAGGCUUGGUAAGUGCCUCUGGGUCCCAGAUCUUUUUCUCAGGUCGGGAUAGUGUGAGUGCCUAGCACAGUGUCAGGCAUGCAGAAGGGCCCCUUAAAAGUUUCUCUUUCAUCUGGCUAGUUUUAGAUACAGAAUUUUGUCAGUUUAACUGCAGUGCAUACUCUUGGGUAGUGCUUGUGCUGACCAAGUAUCUUAGAGGUUUAUUUUAUUAUAGUAGCCAACAUUUAUCCAGCACUUAACCUUAUAUAAAGGGCUGUUUUUGCAUGAGCUAAUUAAAAUCCUGAGAGUAGACCGGUAAGUCAGAAACUCUGCCCCGUUUUGAAGGUGAGGAAAUUGAGGUUCUGGGUGUAACUUGCUUUGGUCACAUAAUGUUAAGUUUUACAAUUUGAGCCUUGAUCCAUACGCAAAGCCACCAUAAACAUUAGAUUUAUAGACUCAAAAUGAAAACAUCAGCUUACUGGUUUGUAGUUCAUACCAGUCAUACAUUCCAAAACAUGUUUGAGUCUUACUCUGUGCCUGAUCUUGUGCUUGAUAAUAUGGAUAUAAUGGGAAGCAACCCUCCAGUGGUCAUGCUCACAGUCUCAUGGAGGACCCCGAAUAAUACUUACGGAAGAUAAAUUCCAUGUAAUGACUGAUAAGAGUACAAUACAGGUGUCGUGGGAACAUGUGACAUCACUGAAGACUGCCUGGAAGGGGACACACAUGUGUUCAUACCAAUAAGAUGAAAAGGAUAAAGAAUGAAAAUGCUUACCUUUAGGAGAAGGAAGAGCCUAGAGUAGGAGGGUCGAGGAUGAAACCUGGACUUCAAAUAUGCCUUGUUUAUGUAAAUGUGACUUCGGAACUGUGUGAGUAUUUUAAGAUACUAAAAUCAGUUUUAAAAUAAGUUUUAAGAAGCAGUCCCUAAUCAUCAAAAGUAAAAAACUCUUGAUGUAGUCAUAUACCCACACUAAGAACUCUUCUAGGUGACUUCAAAACAUAGGGCAGUACAUCU